ACCCUCGGUUUCCUCAUCUACAAGAUGGGGCUAAUGGAGGCGUGAGGAUUAAGGGAGUACAGCUCACAAACAUGCUGAGCACAGUCUCAGCCGGGCAGCAAGCGCUCCUCCGUGACUGUUGUGACCGGGUGAUGGGAGGCCUGGUUCCCGCCCAUCCUCCCGCUGGGCAGGGCAGGCGGCCUGUGCUAGGAGCUCUCUGCAAGUACUGAGGUGGGAGGGCUCAGGGGACACUAGCUGAGGCCAGACUCGGCCUCCCGGAGGAGGGGAGGUCUGAGUGGAGCUCUGAAGGGCGAAUGGACCUGUCCCUCUGAGGUUAGACCUAGCCCAACCUAAGUGGUCCGAGAGGGCUUACUGGAGGAAGCCUCGCUUGCCAAAGGAGUGUCUUCAUGUCUGCCCACCCCCACUUCUGCCCAGCCUCCUGCAGUCAAUCCUGGACACGCUGAGUCUCCACAGCUACCAGCCUGGACUCUCCUUCCAACUGCUGAGCCAGAAGCCCCCGCCCGCCUGCAGAGGAGGGCAGGAGAGAGGGCCCAGCUUCCGCUCCAGGAGGGGGCCAGCUCUCCUGUGCCUUCACACCCCGUUGAAUCCCCAGCAUCAGCCUGUGACGUCAGGCUUGUCUGCAGCUUCCGGGGACAGGAGGGUGGGAAGGGGCUGGCUGGUGACCCCGGGCAGGGUGUCCUCAGACACGUCACAGGCUCUGUUAACCCAGCGGUGUUCCCCCUGACCCCCGGGUCCCAGGCAGCAGCUCCUUCCCCCGUGAGGUUCCUCUGGCCUCUCUCUCACUUCUCUUCCCUCUGAAAGAAACCAGGCAAUUGCUAAAGCCCAGGGUCCCCCACUCCCAUCCAUGCUGCGAUGGUUAACCGUUACCAAAAACUCAGGCGGGAGGAGGGGUUGGGAGAGGUGUAGGGUUUGUGUGGAUUUUUUUUGACAUUUUAUUUUCUCCCUGAUUUGAAUUUUUACUUGUUUUAUUUGCAAUGAAUACUAUAUUAACAUGGUACAAAGUAAAAAAUGCAAACGGAACCCAGGCUAUGCUGCGAAGAGAAAAACCGGGUCCCCGCCUCCUCCCAGCCGUGCACCCCUCCCGGCACAUCCCAGGCGAGUCCCAGCACGUGGGAACAUCCACGCUCCCGCAAAGCACGGCCCAGGUACUGACCGUUCUGUUCUUUGCUUUUUUCAGUUGACAAUUAUCUUGGAGAUUGUAGCAGUUUCCCAGGGCUGCCAUAACAACGGCCCACAGAUUGUGUGGCUAAAACAACAGACAUUUAUCCUCUUAAGUUCUGGAGGCCAGAAGUGUGAAAUUCAGGUGUCAGCAGUGUUGGUUCCUUCUGGAGGUUCUGAGGGAGAAUCUUUCCUGGCCUCUUCCAGCACCUGGUGGCCAGCAAUCCUUGGCUUGUAAGCACAUUGCUCCUCCAGUGUCUGCCUCUGUCUUCAUGUGCCCUUUUCCCCUGUGGGUCUCCGUCUUCUCUCCCCAGCCCCACCCCGGAACUGCACGGCUUGCAGGAUCUUAGUUCCCCAACCAGGGAUUGAACCUGGGCCCCCAGCAGUGAAAGCGGGCAUCCUAACCACUGGACGGCCAGGGAAUUCCGUCUUCUCUUUUUAUAAGGACACCAGGCGUUGGCUUAAGGGCCCACCUACUCCUGGAUGACCUAACUAAUAACACCUGCAAAGACCGUUUACAAAUAAGGUCACAUUCACAGGCACCUGGGUUAAGAACCUCAACACAUCUGUUCAGGGGACUCAAUUCAACCCACAGCAGACACCUUUCCUUAUCAGUGUGUUCCAGUUGGCCAUGUUUUUGUGAACAGUUGCAUGGCCUUUCAUCGGGUGAGCAUUCCUUACUUUAUUCUUUCAGCUACGCUUGGGACAGUAAAUAGAUGGGGACAGCUGAACAGUCUUGGAGGAAGGACAACAGCUGACCAGGCCACAGAGGGACAGUGAGGCUGGAGCUGAGGGGGCAGAUUUAGCCAAGGCCUGGGAGGGAGGACGGGAAGGAAGGGUGGCGUGGCAGACGCUCCCAGGUACCUAGAAUCCCAGUUUGUUCUGUGCUUCAGUGUGUCCAGAAAAACAAACAAACAAACAAACAAAAAAAACACCAUUCCAGACUCCCUUGCAGCUAGAGGUGGCCAUGGGUCCCAGAUCCUGCCAGUGAGAUGAAAGCUGUGGCUGGGGCUUCUGAGAAAGCUUUGUGAAAGGGACACACGCAGCUGUGACACAUCCCUUGCCCUCUGACCCUGCCCCCUUUUACUGAUGAAAUGGGGACAGGAUGCCUGCAGGUGCAGUGGGGAUAGAGCUGGCCCCGUGGCCUUGGUGGGCCACUGAACCAGCUUGGCCUGGGGAAGGCCAGUCACACACUCUUCCUUGGUUUCUCUGUCAUUUGUAGCCAAAUGCAUCACGACCCGGUAAGGAGCUGGCAGGAUUUGCCCGGGGUGGGGGGUGAUCUGGGUCAUGCCUUAAAGACCCCCCCCAGGAGGCUGUGAGGUGAGUGGGCUACACUGGGCAAGAGGAGGCAAGCCUGGGUGGGGGCAUCUGAGCCAAAGGGCAGUUCCAGGCUGGGAAGGGAGGGUGCCAGUGGCAGGUGGGCAGGGCCACUGGGGAAUGAAGGGAGACAGGUGAAGCCCCCAUGCAGUUUGAGGGAAACCCCGAGUCAACCCACCAACCGUUUUCCCCGAUUUCUGCAGCACGGGAGGCCGGCCGUGGGGAAGUGUGUCCUCUUCCCCGUGCCCCUUCACGCCUCUCUCCUUUUCCUUUUUUAUCCCUUUGGGCCCCAGGCACAGGGAGUGAACAAAGCAUGCCCCUCCUCCUGACACCGUCCUCACUGGCCCGACCUGGCCCGCCUUCACUGACGUAAUCAAUUCUCCUGGUCAAAAGCCCCUCGCCCCACACAGAGCUGGGGCCUUCAUGGCUCCCCCAUGGGGGGCGGGCUCCUGUGACUGCAGGAACGACGGAUCAGCCCUUUGCACACACACACCCUUUAAUACUCCCAAGAGCCCAACAGAGGACACCGGUGGGGGGCGGGGGGCCCUGUCCAGGGUCACAAGGCCAGAGCCCCAGGCCCUGUGGGCCCACAGCCCUCACGGCGACCGGCCGUCCUCCACCCACCGGCGGGAGCUUCACAAGAACCAGGAUCAGCCCGGGCUCCCACCCUACCCGCCCCACCGACUCCUGGCGGCCGACUCGUCAAGUUCUGCGGUUGGAGUGGCAGUUCGAGUAGCAGAGGAGCCUGGGACAGGCCAGCACCCACUCUGUGUCCUGACUUCAGCCGAGGUGGCCAGGCCUCCUGGGGCCGCUGCUCCCCCUGCCCCACCCUCCACGGGGAGGCACCGCCCUCUCCCUGGUCUGGGCGUGUGCCAGGAGCCCUCCCAGCCCCAGGCCCGCUCAGAUGACCCCCCGACGCCCCCCCGACCGCCCUCCCGGCCUCUCCUGGGGGCCAGCCGAGCGCCCACUCCCCUCCUGCCUUUGGUCCCUGGAGGGCGGGUGCCUCCUCCUCCUGGACUCCGAGGCUGGCCCCUGGUCCCCCUGCCGGCCCCUCACGGUGGAGCAGGCCUCCCAUCUUCCAUCCAGGAAGACGAAGCUCCUGAGGCCCAAGGUCAACAGGCCCAAGGUCAUGUGCCCUUCGUGUUGGUCGAAUGCCAAGGCCUUUCCAACCACCGUGUCCCCUCCCCCUGGCCCGCGGCGGGCAUGGGGGCCAUGGGGUGCCGAGGCGGAGGGCCCCUAAGCUUCCCACGGCACUCGGGCUCCCGAAACGGCCAGGCGUCUCCAGGGGAGCUGGCUUCCGGGGUCCUGGCACCUCAACGCCGCGCACGCGCGCACCUGUCCCCACCAGCCCGGACGCGACCCCCGCCCCACCCGCGGCCCCCCCCACGGCCGAGCUGCUCCAAAGCCGGAGGUGCGAGCCAGCGUGGGACCUGGGACCAGAGCCUGAACUCGCCAUGGCAGAGCCUGGGGUGCGGGGGAGUGGUGGGCAGAGCUGGAGAGGGUCUCUGGCCACCAGCUCCGGGGACACUCGGGGGAUCCAGUACAUAAGCAACACGUUGCAGAAGGCGACGGAAAAGAGGCAGCUUGCAGGUCGCUUCCAGCCAGGCAAGCACGCCCUUCCUUGGGGCCUCCUGCCCUGAGGCUGCCCUCCCUCCCCAGCCCCUUCCUCUCUUUUCUUUCACAGCACCCCCCCAUACUUAUCUUUUAUCAUCUCUUGCCAUCUCCUCUACUAGAUGUAAUCCUAGUACCCUUAGUUAGUGCGGUUCCAUCAGCACCUGAAACAGGGCGUGACACAUCAUUGGUGCUCAGCGGAAUGAAUAAACCUGGCAAUUCAAGGACAGGGAAGCUUUGGAAAUGAAAACCUCCAAGAGGGAGGCAAGAGGCUGGGAAAGUGGAGGUACAGGCACGUGCAAAGGAGGGACACUGGUCUCGCUGUUAUCUGGGGGUGCCCACAGGAAGCAACGCCAAAGCCCUCAACGAUCCGAGGUCCUUCCCAUCUCACACCUGAAGAUGCGCACAGUUUUUCACCAUGGCUGCUCCUCGGCUCAGCUCGACCUUGGCCCUUCACUCAGCAGUCUGGGCCUCACGUGGACAUGCCCCCUCAGCCACGUUCUGUCAGCAGCCCCUCCAUCAUUAGCAAAGAGGAGGUAAAGUCACAUGAAUUAAGGGGUAACAAUAAGCCUUGAUCUGCAGUACAUCAGCCACAGGAGCCUAGCUGGGUGAGGGUGGGGGAGUAUUUCGUUCCCCAGUCCCUAAAUCCUAUCUAGUUCUCAGUAUAUUUACCAAGUGUUAAAGAGUCUAUCUCAGUUUUAGUAAGCUUUUCUUUUUGGCACAGAAGCUUCCAGAACUAACACUGAGUGAGGGUCAUGGACCCAAGUGCAUGAGAAUUUCAUUUGGCU